rnacentral:rRNA from 1 species
GAUGAACGCUGGCGGCGUGCCUAAUACAUGCAAGUCGAGCGAAGCGGGGACGGGUGAGCAACACGUGGAUAACCUCAUAUAAGACUGGGAUAACUUCGGGGAACCGGAGCUAAACCGGAAACUUAUAGAUGGAUCCGCGCUGCAUUAGCUAGUUGGUAAGGUAACGGCUUACCAAGGCAAAGAUGCAUAGCCGACCUGCGAGGGUGAUCGGCCAAACUGGAACUUAGACACGGUCCAGACUCCUACGGGAUGCAGCAGGAGGGAAUCUUCCGAAAUGGGCGAAAGCCUGACGGAGCAACGCCGCGUGGGUGAUGAAGGUCUUCGGAUCGUAAAACUCUGUUAUUAGGGAAUCGGUACCUAAUCAGAAAGCCACGGCUAACUACGUGCCAGCAGCCGCGGGAAUAC